AUGUAAAUCCAACCCGAGAGGAGGGAGCCGGGAGGAUGCGGGUCCCUCCGGCGCGGGGAGAGCGGGACCCGGGCGGCUGGGAGGGACGGGAGAGGGACGGGAGCAGCUGACCUCCAGCACAGGAAAUCCCACCCACACCGCCCAGCCCACUCGGCUGAUGUCAACCAGCCCCUUAAGUGCUCCAAACAGAGACACCUGGAUCAUCUUGUGCUGCAGUGCUGCCAAAAGUCCAAGCAAGGGCCAGACAGUUCUGGGUACAAGCCAGGCCUAGAUGACUAUAAAUGUGUUUCCACUAUGGAAAAGAAGGUUAGCACAGUACAUCUUCAUGACUGGGGAAUGAAUUUUUCUGAAGACACCUUCCAAAUGGCAAAAGCUUAGAAAAAUCAAUGUGAAUAUUGAAUUCAGUUCCAUAUAAAGUCCCUUGUAAAAAAGAAAACAAAAAAACAAAAAACCAAAAAAGCCCAAAACUCAUAAGCCUUUACAGUGUACAGGAAACUCAGUUCUGUCCCCUGAUGCUGUUUUCAAGUUUUUUUAUUCUUUUAUUCACUCUUUAGGAUGACUAUAAAUGUGUUUCCACUAUGGAAAAGAAGGUUAGCACAGUACAUCUUCAUGACUGGGGAAUGAAUUUUUCUGAAGACACCUUCCAAAUGGCAAAAGCUUAGAAAAAUCAAUGUGAAUAUUGAAUUCAGUUCCAUAUAAAGUCCCUUGUAAAAAAGAAAACAAAAAAACAAAAAAACAAAAAAGCCCAAAACAAAACAAAACCAAACC
rnacentral:lncRNA from 1 species